ACAGUCGAACGAACUCUGGUAUUGAUUGGUGCUUGCAUCAUGAUUUACAUUUGAGUGAGUGGCGAACUGGUGAGUAACACGUGGGAAACCUGCCCAGAAGCGGGGGAUAACACCUGGAAACAGAUGCUAAUACCGCAUAACAACUUGGACCGCAUGGUCCGAGUUUGAAAGAUGGCUUCGGCUAUCACUUUUGGAUGGUCCCGCGGCGUAUUAGCUAGAUGGUGGGGUAACGGCUCACCAUGGCAAUGAUACGUAGCCGACCUGAGAGGGUAAUCGGCCACAUUGGGACUGAGACACGGCCCAAACUCCUACGGGAGGCAGCAGUAGGGAAUCUUCCACAAUGGACGAAAGUCUGAUGGAGCAACGCCGCGUGAGUGAAGAAGGGUUUCGGCUCGUAAAACUCUGUUGUUAAAGAAGAACAUAUCUGAGAGUAACUGUUCAGGUAUUGACGGUAUUUAACCAGAAAGCCACGGCUAACUACGUGCCAGCAGCCGCGGUAAUACGUAGGUGGCAAGCGUUGUCCGGAUUUAUUGGGCGUAAAGCGAGCGCAGGCGGUUUUUUAAGUCUGAUGUGAAAGCCUUCGGCUCAACCGAAGAAGUGCAUCGGAAACUGGGAAACUUGAGUGCAGAAGAGGACAGUGGAACUCCAUGUGUAGCGGUGAAAUGCGUAGAUAUAUGGAAGAACACCAGUGGCGAAGGCGGCUGUCUGGUCUGUAACUGACGCUGAGGCUCGAAAGUAUGGGUAGCAAACAGGAUUAGAUACCCUGGUAGUCCAUACCGUAAACGAUGAAUGCUAAGUGUUGGAGGGUUUCCGCCCUUCAGUGCUGCAGCUAACGCAUUAAGCAUUCCGCCUGGGGAGUACGGCCGCAAGGCUGAAACUCAAAGGAAUUGACGGGGGCCCGCACAAGCGGUGGAGCAUGUGGUUUAAUUCGAAGCUACGCGAAGAACCUUACCAGGUCUUGACAUACUAUGCAAAUCUAAGAGAUUAGACGUUCCCUUCGGGGACAUGGAUACAGGUGGUGCAUGGUUGUCGUCAGCUCGUGUCGUGAAAUGUUGGGUUAAGUCCCGCAACGAGCGCAACCUUAUUAUCAGUUGCCAGCAUUAAGUUGGGCAUCUGGUGAGACUGCCGUGACAACCGGAGGAAGGGGGGAUGACUCAAUCAUCUGCCCUUUGACUGGGCUACCCGUGCUAAAUGGAUGGACCACGAUUGCAACUCCGAAGUAACUAUCCUUAAGCCUUCCAUUCGAUGGGGUGCACUCCCCACUGAAUCGAACCCUAAAUCCGGAACUGCCGGGAAUCCGUUUUUCCGCGCGCGCGUAAAAAAAA
rnacentral:rRNA from 1 species